CACGGGGGGAGCAAGCGUUGUUCGGAAUCACUGGGCGUAAAGGGCGUGUAGGCGGUCAAGUAAGUGGGAUGUGAAAUCCCUCGGCUCACCCGAGGACCUGCAUCCCAAACUGCUUGGCUUGAGUAUGGGAGAGGAUGAGGGAAUUCCUGGUGUAGCGGUGAAAUGCGUAGAUAUCAGGAGGAACACCGGUGGCGAAGGCGGCUACCUGGACCGAUAUUGACGCUGGAGGAGCGAAAGCGUGGGGAGCAAACAGG
rnacentral:rRNA from 1 species